AGAGUGCUAAGGAUUGAGGGAUUAAGAGGAGGUGAUUGUAUUAUUCCUCUUUUCAGAUAAUGGAGAGAGAGAAGAGAACAGCAGUAGCCGUUGCCAGAAAUAUUGAGCAAGGCGGAUUUAUUAGAUGAAGAUAUCAAAAUACUUUCCAUUGAGGAAACAGGUUGGAGGUGGGAGGCUGUAACCAUGCUUGAUUUUGUACCACCCUAACCUUUGCUUAGAUUUUUUUUUUUUUUUUUUUGCCCAAGAUGGCAAGUUGCUUAAAACCUAAAGCUCCUUUCAAUUCUUUACAAUCCAAGAUUAUAUGGAAUGGACUGGGAACAAAGAGAGGGACUGGCAUUUAAAGUCUUUUAAUGUUUCAAUUCAUGCCAUCACAUCUUUGAAAACUGGCAAUUCAACCUUGCCUUGAGCAUUUCCAUGUACAGGAAACACAUGAUCUCUUAAGGAGUCCAUUUCACCGUCAGACGGUUCUGAAGGAUGUGAGUGGUUCUCAACAUUGAAACCAGUGCUGGCUCCUGGUUUGAAUUUCUGUAGCCACUCCAGUCUCGUUCUUGUGCUCACCAUUCCUCCAAAUUGGCCGCCUAUGACUUCUAUGACAAUAAAUCCAAUGGACCCUU
rnacentral:lncRNA from 1 species